UUUCCGUAGGCGAACCUGCGGAAGGAUCAUUCAUAAUACGUGUUUUAUGGCACUUUUUUAACUCCAUAUCCAUCUACUGUGCCAUGUCGGGGUUUAUUUUUCUCUCGAUGUGAUCAGCCCCAUACAUCAAAUAUAUCUCAACUCUUUAUCUGCAAAAUAUUUUGCAUAAACCAAUUCAAAAUACAACUUACAACAACGGAUCUCUUGGCUCAAGCCUAGAUGCAGAACGCAACACAUCGUACGGUCUCCCGUCUGAACUCCAAUAACGCCUACUCA
rnacentral:misc_RNA from 1 species